AGCGAACGCUGACGGCAGGCCUAACACAUGCAAGUCGAACGAACUCUUCGGAGUUAGUGGCGGACGGGUGAGUAACACGUGGGAACGUGCCGUUUGGUUCGGAAUAACUCAGGGAAACUUGUGCUAAUACCGAAUGUGCCCUUCGGGGGAAAGAUUUAUCGCCAUUAGAGCGGCCCGCGUCUGAUUAGCUAGUUGGUGAGGUAACGGCUCACCAAGGCGACGAUCAGUAGCUGGUCUGAGAGGAUGACCAGCCACACUGGGACUGAGACACGGCCCAGACUCCUACGGGAGGCAGCAGUGGGGAAUCUUGCGCAAUGGGCGAAAGCCUGACGCAGCCAUGCCGCGUGAAUGAUGAAGGUCUUAGGAUUGUAAAAUUCUUUCACCGGGGACGAUAAUGACGGUACCCGGAGAAGAAGCCCCGGCUAACUUCGUG
rnacentral:rRNA from 1 species